UACGUAGGUGGCAAGCGUUGUCCGGAAUUAUUGGGCGUAAAGCGCGCGCAGGCGGCUAUCCAAGUCAGUGGUGAAAGCCCGGAGCUCAACUCCGGAACUGCCAUUGAAACUGUUUAGCUUGAGGAUGAGAGAGGUGAGUGGAAUUCCCAGUGUAGAGGUGAAAUUCGUAGAUAUUGGGAAGAACACCGGUGGCGAAGGCGGCUCACGGGCUCAUUACUGACGCUCAGGCGCGAUAGCGUGGGGAUCAAACAGG
rnacentral:rRNA from 1 species